AUUGAACGCUGGCGGCAGGCCUAACACAUGCAAGUCGAGCGGAGCGGCGGACGGGUGAGUAAUGCCUAGGAAUCUGCCUGGUAGUGGGGGAUAACGUCCGGAAACGGGCGCUAAUACCGCAUACUAUCAGAUGAGCCUAGGUCGGAUUAGCUAGUUGGUGGGGUAAAGGCCUACCAAGGCGACGAUCCGUAACUGGUCUGUGAGGAUGAUCAGUCACACUAGAACUGAGACACGGGCCAGAUCUGUCAGGGAGGCAGCAGUGGUGAAUAUUGGACAAUGGGCGAAAGCCUGAUCCAGCCGUGCCGCGUGUGUGAGGAAGGUCUUCGGAGUUUAAAGCACUUUAAGUUGAGAGGCGUUACCAACAGAAUAAGCACCGGCUAGCAUCGUGCCAGCAGCCGCGGUAAUAC
rnacentral:rRNA from 1 species